CGUGGACACCCUUCUCUCUGUCGCCGUCAAAUUUGUUCGAUCUCCCUUCCCUGUCCGGCGCCGCCUCUUCGUUUGGAAGGAAUGUAUAAUAAUGUUGAAUCCCAGUCUGCAGCUCCAAAACCUCCAUCAAGCUCUCAGCCAAAUCCAUUUGGAAAUGCAUUUUAUGGUGCCGGAUCAGGACUCAUUCGAGGUGGACUGGGUGCAUAUGGAGAGAAAAUAUUUGGGUCAAGCUCAGAGUAUGUUCAAAGCAAUAUAAGUAGG
rnacentral:misc_RNA from 1 species